rnacentral:rRNA from 1 species
AUACGGAGGGUGCAAGCGUUGUUCGGAAUCACUGGGCGUAAAGGGCGCGCAGGCGGUUUGGUAAGUCAGAUGUGAGAGCCCAUGGCUCAACCAUGGAAGUGCAUUUGAAACUGUCAGACUUGAGUACUAGAGGGGAAAGUGGAAUUCCCGGUGUAGAGGUGAAAUUCGUAGAUAUCGGGAGGAAUACCGGUGGCGAAGGCGACUUUCUGGCUAGAUACUGACGCUGAGGCGCGAAAGCGUGGGGAGCAAACAGGAUUAGAAACCCCGGUAGUCC